GCCAUGCAUGUCUGAGUUCGCACCCCUUACGCACGGGCAAACCGCGAAUGGCUCAUUAAAUCAGUCCGGGUUCCUUAGGCGACACGGCCCUCGCGGGCAUAUCGGAUAACUGUGGCAAAUCCAGAGCUAAUACGUGCGCAUCGAGCCCCGACCCGCCUUCUGGCGGGGAAGGGCGCUUUUAUUAGUACAAGACCGGCGUCCGUGGCGAUUCGUUCGCGCGGACCCUCGUCAGGCGAACUCUGGAUAACCGUCCCGACCGCUCCGUCCCUCGUGGACGGCGGCGCGCCUUUCAAGCGUCUGCCCUAUCAAAUGUCGACGGUAGGUCAUACGCCAACCGUGUUGACGACGGGUAACGGGGAAUCGGGGUUCGGUUCCGGAGAGGGAGCACGAGAAACGGCUACCACAUCCAAGGAAGGCAGCAGGCGCGCAACUUACCCACUCCCAGCUCGGGGAGGUAGUGACGAGAAAUAACGAUGCGGGUCUCAAGUCGGGCCCCGCGGUCGGAAUGAGCGCAGUCCAAACCCCUGACGGCGACGACCCAUUGGAGGGCAAGCCUGGUGCCAGCAGCCGCGGUAAUUCCAGCUCCAAUAGCGUAUAUUAAAGCUGCUGCAGUUAAAAAGCUCGUAGUUGGAUCUCGAGGCGGGCGGUGUCGCCCGGUGGGGGCGCGGCUUCGGUCGACGUCCCGAUCGGCGGCGCCGUACCGCCCCGUCGAGCGCCGGCUCUCUCCCGUGGCCGUUCUUCGCUGAGCGGCCCGGGCGGCCGGCCUUUUACUUUGAAAAAAUUAGAGUGUUCAAGGCGGGCCAGUUGUGCCCGGAUAAUCGCGCAUGGAAUGAUGGAACAGGACCGCCGUCCCGUUCGGCCGGUCUCAGGGGCGGAGGUAAUGAUUGAAAGGGACGGCCGGGGGCAUUCGUACCGCGGCGGGAGAGGUGAAAUUCGAUGAUCGUCGCGAGACGGCCGAGAGCGAAAGCAUUUGUCAAGAGCGCUUUCUUUAAUCAAGAACGAAAGUCGGAGGCUCGAAGACGAUCAGAUACCGUCGUAGUUCCGACCGUAAACGAUGCCGACUGGCGAUCCGCGGAAGUCCCACACGGACUGCGCGGGCGGCCCCCGGGAAACCAAAGUCUCUGGGUUCCGGGGGGAGUAUGGUCGCAAAGCUGAAACUUAAAGGAAUUGACGGAAGGGCACCACCAGGAGUGGGGUCUGCGGCUUAAUUUGACUCAACACGGGAAAACUCACCCGGUCCGGACACCGCUAGGAUUGACAGACCGAGGCUCUUUCUUGAUUCGGUGGGUGGUGGUGCAUGGCCGU
rnacentral:rRNA from 1 species